rnacentral:rRNA from 1 species
CUGUUUUGAUCCCGCCGGCAGGUUUACUGCUAUCGAGGUHUCGACUAAGCCAUGCGAGCUCGAAUGUAGCAAUACAUGGCGAACUGCUCAGUAACACGUGGACAACCUGCCCUUAGGACGGGKAUAAACCCGGGAAACUGGGUAUAAUACCCGAUAGGUCUCGAUUGCUGGAAUGCAUCGAGAUUUAAAGCUCCGGYGCCUAAGGAUGGGUCUGCGGCCCUAUCAGGUAGUAGUGGGUGUAGCGUACCUACUAGCCUACGACGGGUACGGGUUGUGAGAGCAAGAGCCCGGAGAUGGAUUCUGAGACACGAAUCCAGGCCCUACGGGGUGCAGCAGGCGCGAAAACUUUACAAUGCUGGCAACAGCGAUAAGGGAACCUCGGAGUGCCAGGUUACAAAUCUGGCUGUCGAGAUGCCUWAAAAGCAUUUCAUAGCAAGGGCCGGGCAAGACCGGUGCCAGCCGCCGCGGUAACACCGGCGGCUCGAGUGGUAACCGUUAUUAUUGGGUMUAAAGGGUCUGUAGCCGGCCGGAUAAGUCUCUUGAGAAAUACUGGCAGCUUUAACUGUCAGGCUUUCAGGAGAUACUGUMUGGCUCGAGGCCGGGAGAGGUGAGAGGUACUUCAGGGGUAGGGGUGAAAUCUUGUAAUCCUUGAAGGACCACCAGUGGCGAAGGCGUCUCACCAGAACGGACCUGACGGCAAGGGACGAAAGCUAGGGGCACGAACCGGAUUAGAUACCCGGGUAGUCCUAGCCGUAAACGAUACUCGCUAGGUGUCGGCCACGGUGCGACCGUUGUCGGUKCCGUAGGGAAGCCGUGAAGCGAGCCACCUGGGAAGUACGGCCGCAAGGCUGAAACUUAAAGGAAUUGGCGGGGGAGCACCACAACGGGUGGAGCUUGCGGUUUAAUUGGAUUCAACGCCGGAAAUCUUACCGGGACCGACAGCAAUAUGAAGGCCAGGCUGAAGACUUUGCCGGAUUAGCUGANGAGGUGGUGCAUGGCCGUCGUCAGUUCGUAKCUGUGAAGCAUCCCUGUUAAGUCAGGCAAUCGAGCGAGACCCAAAUGGAGDCGAAUUUCCAGGCAUCAKCUGUGCGGACCGUUAMUAAGUGGAUUCCGAG